GGGUUGUGAGGUUAAGCGACUAAGCGUACACGGUGGAUGCCCUGGCAGUCAGAGGCGAUGAAGGGCGUGCUAAUCUGCGAUAAGCGCCGGUAAGGUGAUAUGAACCGUUAUAACCGGCGAUACCCGAAUGGGGAAACCCAGUGUGACUCGUCACACUAUCAUUAACUGAAUCCAUAGGUUAAUGAGGCGAACCGGGGGAACUGAAACAUCUAAGUACCCCGAGGAAAAGAAAUCAACCGAGAUUCCCCCAGUAGCGGCGAGCGAACGGGGAGGAGCCCAGAGCCUGAAUCAGCAUGUGUGUUAGUGGAAGCGUCUGGAAAGGCGCGCGAUACAGGGUGACAGCCCCGUACACAAAAGCGCAUGUGCUGUGAGCUCGAUGAGUAGGGCGGGACACGUGGUAUCCUGUCUGAAUAUGGGGGGACCAUCCUCCAAGGCUAAAUACUCCUGACUGACCGAUAGUGAACCAGUACCGUGAGGGAAAGGCGAAAAGAACCCCGGCGAGGGGAGUGAAAAAGAACCUGAAACCGUGUACGUACAAGCAGUGGGAGCACCCUUUUGGGUGUGACUGCGUACCUUUUGUAUAAUGGGUCAGCGACUUAUAUUCUGUAGCAAGGUUAACCGUAUAGGGGAGCCGCAGGGAAACCGAGUCUUAAUUGGGCGUUAAGUUGCAGGGUAUAGACCCGAAACCCGGUGAUCUAGCCAUGGGCAGGUUGAAGGUUGGGUAACACUAACUGGAGGACCGAACCGACUAAUGUUGAAAAAUUAGCGGAUGACCUGUGGCUGGGGGUGAAAGGCCAAUCAAACCGGGAGAUAGCUGGUUCUCCCCGAAAGCUAUUUAGGUAGCGCCUCGUGAAUUCAUCUCCGGGGGUAGAGCACUGUUUCGGCUAGGGGGCCAUCCCGGCUUACCAACCCGAUGCAAACUGCGAAUACCGGAGAAUGUUAUCACGGGAGACACACGGCGGGUGCUAACGUCCGUCGUGAAGAGGGAAACAACCCAGACCGCCAGCUAAGGUCCCAAAGUCAUGGUUAAGUGGGAAACGAUGUGGGAAGGCCCAGACAGCCAGGAUGUUGGCUUAGAAGCAGCCAUCAUUUAAAGAAAGCGUAAUAGCUCACUGGUCGAGUCGGCCUGCGCGGAAGAUGUAACGGGGCUAAACCAUGCACCGAAGCUGCGGCAGCGAACGUAUCACCCAAGACAACUUUACGGAGUUGACGAUUGACGGAGCGAAGCGACGUCAAAGCGUUCAUUAAAGUCGAGUUGGCUUAGGGAUACGUUUGUUGGGUAGGGGAGCGUUCUGUAAGCCUGCGAAGGUGGCCUGUGAGGGUUGCUGGAGGUAUCAGAAGUGCGAAUGCUGACAUAAGUAACGAUAAAGCGGGUGAAAAGCCCGCUCGCCGGAAGACCAAGGGUUCCUGUCCAACGUUAAUCGGGGCAGGGUGAGUCGACCCCUAAGGCGAGGCCGAAAGGCGUAGUCGAUGGGAAACGGGUUAAUAUUCCCGUACUUGGUGUUACUGCGAAGGGGGGACGGAGAAGGCUAUGUUGGCCGGGCGACGGUUGUCCCGGUUUAAGCGUGUAGGUGUGUGUUCCAGGUAAAUCCGGUUCACUUUAACACUGAGGCGUGAUGACGAGGCACUACGGUGCUGAAGCAACAAAUGCCCUGCUUCCAGGAAAAGCCUCUAAGCAUCAGGUAACAUCAAAUCGUACCCCAAACCGACACAGGUGGUCAGGUAGAGAAUACCAAGGCGCUUGAGAGAACUCGGGUGAAGGAACUAGGCAAAAUGGUGCCGUAACUUCGGGAGAAGGCACGCUGACACGUAGGUGAAGUGAUUUACUCAUGGAGCUGAAGUCAGUCGAAGAUACCAGCUGGCUGCAACUGUUUAUUAAAAACACAGCACUGUGCAAACACGAAAGUGGACGUAUACGGUGUGACGCCUGCCCGGUGCCGGAAGGUUAAUUGAUGGGG
rnacentral:rRNA from 1 species